rnacentral:rRNA from 1 species
GAUGAACGCUGGCGGCGUGCUUAACACAUGCAAGUCGAACGAAGCACUUGAGAAUGAUUUUUCGGAAGAUUUCUCUUGUGACUUAGUGGCGGACGGGUGAGUAACGCGUGGGUAACCUGCCUCACACAGGGGGAUAACAGUUGGAAACGACCGCUAAUACCGCAUAACCCGCUAGGGCCGCAUGGCCCGGACGGAAAAGAUUUAUCGGUGUGAGAUGGACCCGCGUUGGAUUAGCUAGUUGGCAGGGUAACGGCCUACCAAGGCGACGAUCCAUAGCCGGCCUGAGAGGGUGAACGGCCACAUUGGGACUGAGACACGGCCCAAACUCCUACGGGAGGCAGCAGUGGGGGAUAUUGCACAAUGGGGGAAACCCUGAUGCAGCGACGCCGCGUGAGUGAAGAAGUAUUUCGGUAUGUAAAGCUCUAUCAGCAGGGAAGAAAAUGACGGUAC